AUUGAACGCUGGCGGCAGGCUUAACACAUGCAAGUCGAGCGGAGAUGAGGUGCUUGCACCUUAUCUUAGCGGCGGACGGGUGAGUAAUGCUUAGGAAUCUGCCUAUUAGUGGGGGACAACAUUCCGAAAGGAAUGCUAAUACCGCAUACGUCCUACGGGAGAAAGCAGGGGAUCUUCGGACCUUGCGCUAAUAGAUGAGCCUAAGUCGGAUUAGCUAGUUGGUGGGGUAAAGGCCUACCAAGGCGACGAUCUGUAGCGGGUCUGAGAGGAUGAUCCGCCACACUGGGACUGAGACACGGCCCAGACUCCUACGGGAGGCAGCAGUGGGGAAUAUUGGACAAUGGGGGAAACCCUGAUCCAGCCAUGCCGCGUGUGUGAAGAAGGCCUUAUGGUUGUAAAGCACUUUAAGCGAGGAGGAGGCUACUGAGACUAAUACUCUUGGAUAGUGGACGUUACUCGCAGAAUAAGCACCGGCUAACUCUGUGCCAGCCGCCGCAGUAA
rnacentral:rRNA from 1 species